rnacentral:snRNA from 1 species
GUGCCUGCAGUCUGACUAAAAUAGACCAGUCUCUUGCAUUUUUCCAGAGACUGCUGUGGUCAGGCUGUUGUUAGGGCCAUACGCUAAUAUUUGAAGCCCCCUUGCGGGGAU